AGUGAGGGGGGGUGGAGGAAGAGAAGGUGGGACGUAGAACAGAACCCAGCAAAGAGGAGAGCGGAGAAGCCUCACGGGGGAUUGGCUGGAGUCAGCUGUCAGUCAAGUGCAGCCCGCCUUCGACAUCCCUUCCCCCUCGCGUGGCUCCCCCUCUCCGUCCCUCGCUUGUAAGCCCGGCCUUUUCGGCUCGCCCAUUGGCUGGGCUCCUUUGGUGACGAAGAGGGUGGGGUUCGCCCGUGAGCUGAAGGAGGCGCGAGUUUGAGCGCCGCGCGCGCGCCGCUCUCCUCUCUGCUUUUCCCCGUUCCCUGGCGGCCCGCCCCCUCGGGCUCCCGCCAACCUCAGGGGCCUCGGCCUAGGGCCCCAGCACCCGCCCCUCGGAUGGGGUCUGUGCUCGCAAAAGGGAGGGCACGCCCUGUUUCUACAUCGAGAUAGGCGGAGGCGAAGGACCGCAACGAACACAUAGGUGGCAGAUGAGUGAUCCACACAGUUGAUCCAGCUUGUUACUUUCUUUCGAGCGUGUGACAUGUUGACAGCCACACUCUAACCAAAGAAGAUCAACUUGGGACCGGAAUCGUCAGUUCACACCUCCCCUUUGCAAUGAGCUUUGAUGAACAUCAUGAUAAAAUCAGACUCAGGCCGAUUGGCAGAGCCUCGAGGUUUCUUCUGGAUCAAUCUGCCAUUGCUGAUUCGUGGGUGGUGAUCACAGAGUGGGCUGGACUGCAGCUGCUGAUGUUGGUGUUGGUGUUUGCUAGAGGACUGGACUGCUGACAACGAAGAUUGGAAUCGCCCCAAAGAACCAUUUCUAAAGAGGUCACAACCCCCUUUUCCCUAUUAAUUUUUCUUUCCCCACUACCUCUGCAGGGUGGUGGGCUAGAAGGGAGGUUGAAGCGAUUAAGAACACUUACUGAGCGCUGGAGAGAUGGCUCAGUGGUUAAGACCACUGUCCGCUCUUCCAGAGAUCCUGAGUUCAAUUCCCAGCAACCACAUGGUGGCUCACAACCAUCUGAAAUGGGGAUCUGAUGCCCUCUUCUGGUGAGUCUGAAGACAGUUGCAGUGUGCUCAUGUAAAUGAAUAGAUAAAUAAAAUAUAUUUUAAAAAAAGAACACUUAUUGAAGUAGGUUUUGAACAAUCAAAGCCUACAAACGUUUUGAUAUGAUACAGCAGAUCUCUCCCUCCAGGGGGGACAGAAAGGCUUAUAUGUCAGGAAGGUGGAGACUGUCGAGAUUCUCUGAGGCUCCUCACUAGCUACAGACAAAAUAAACAACCACCUAGGGAGCAGACACUGACCGUGGAACAGCAGAGAGCGGGCCUCUGGGACCAGAGAGCUACCAUCAAGGCCUUCAGGGAGCUCCAGGCCUGUGGCUGCUGGAUCCUCAUCUCUUUUGGGAUGGACUUCAGUAAUGUAUCUGCUUUUUAAAAAAAGACUUAUGUUUAUUUCUCUCUCUCUCUCUCUCUCUCUCUGUGUGCAUGUGCGUGUGUGUGUGUGUGUGUGUGUGUGUGUGUGUGUGUGUGUGACCAGCAAAGCAUAUUCAAUGCCCUGGAGCUGGAUGUGGGUGCUGGGAAUUGAACUCUGAUCCUCUACAAAAUCAGCAUGAGCUCUUAGUGGCCCAACCAUCUAGCUCUCUAGUUGCUUCUUUCUUCUCUCUUCUUUUUUUUCUUUUUCAUUUCUUUUCUUUUUUUUUUUUUUGAGUCAUCCCUGCUCCCAUAAGAGAUCUCUCAUCCACACCCCUGUCAGUAGCUCUAGUAAAAACUCUCCAAUUCCUCAA